GUAAAAUAGGUAUUUAAAAAAGACAAGUAGGAAAAAAGGGGGGAGAAUGCUUAUUGUUUAAAGUUGAGGGGGGAAUUUGAUUUUUAAAGUAAAGUCGAGGGGGGGGAAAUGAUUUUUUCCCUUAAUUAAAUAUAUCUUUCAUUAUAUUAUGAGAUAAAUUUACCCUUAUAUCAUACUUUAAAGUUAAAUUUACCCUCGUUAUUAAGAAAUUUUGCAUAUAUCAUUUCUUUAACAGAAAAGUCUAAAUCAAUAUUAAAUUAGUCAUUUUUUUAAACACAAAAUAUAUCCUAAUCUAGUUCAUCUGAUUCGACCCACAAAACAAUAAACAGUCAAAUAUAUCCCCCAUUCAGUUCUAUUGGUUGAAUUUUUCCAACAACAAACACACUUAUCUUUCAACGUGCGUAAGUUGUCUACAAAUAAACAAAAUGUAAAAUGAAAUGGGAUAACGCAAAAACAUAAAAUUGAAAAAAUUUGACAAACAAAAUUAAGGGGUAUAUUUAUUGGUGUUUUUUUUGGUGGCUCGAGUCAGGUCGGGGGAUAGGGCGGGAGAUUAGGGUGUGUUCUAUUAUUAAAAAAAAAAGG
rnacentral:lncRNA from 1 species